rnacentral:rRNA from 1 species
GAUGAACGCUCGCGGCAGGCCUAACACAUGCAAGUCGAGGGGGAAGUUACUUUCGGGUGACUGAGACCGGCGUACGGGUGCGUAACGCGUAUACAAUCUGCCUUUCACUGGGGGAUAGCCCGAAGAAAUUUGGAUUAAUACCCCAUAGUAUAUAGGGACGGCAUCGUUUUUAUAUUAAAGCUUAGGUGGUGAAAGAUGAGUAUGCGUUCUAUUAGCUAGUUGGAGAGGUAACGGCUCCCCAAGGCGAUGAUAGAUAGGGGUUCUGAGAGGGAUGUCCCCCACACUGUACUGAGAUACGGACCAGACUCCUACGGGAGGCAGCAGUGAGGAAUAUUGGACAAUGGUCGGAAGACUGAUCCAGCCAUGCCGCGUGCAGGAUGAAGGUCUUAUGGAUUGUAAACUGCUUUUGUAAGGGAAGAAUAAGGGCUACGCGUAGUUUGAUGACGGUACCUUACGAAUAAGCAUCGGCUAACUCCGUG